UCGACGCUCGCGCGCUUCCCUCCCAACAGCCCGAGCCCGCCGCCGCCGUCCGUGUCCGUCUGAAACCGGCUUCGCACCAUGUCUUCGCCUCCCGAGGGGAAGCUGGAGACGAAAGCUGGACACCCGCCCGCCGUGAAAGCUGGUGGGAUGCGAAUUGUGCAGAAACACCCGCAUUCUGGAGACACCAAAGAAGAGAAGGACAAGGACGACCAGGAGUGGGAGAGCCCCAGGUAG